UUACUAUACAGCAGCCGCUUCUUUUCCUCUCGCAGCUUCUCUGCCUGGUAGCUGCAGCUGCCUGCUCUUUCCUGUCCCUUUCACAUAGCGGCGCAUCAACUGUGCUGCGCGGUUUAACUCUCUGAUUAUUCUGCCUUAAUCUGUAUGUGCGCGCACGCGGGUGCUUGGAGCGCGA